rnacentral:rRNA from 1 species
UAUCUCUGUAGAGUCUGCAUAUCAAUAAGCGGAGGAAAAGAAACUAACUAGGAUUCCCUCAGUAACGGCGAGUGAAGCGGGAAGAGCUCAAAUUUGAAAUCUUCAAGGUUCUACCUUGACGAAUUGUAGUUUAAAGAAGUGUUUUCUGUUGGAGUUUUGGUAAAAGUUCUUUGGAAUAGGACAUCAUAGAGGGUGAGAAUCCCGUAUUUGACCAUUAUUUCCAGCUUUGUGAUACACUUUCAAAGAGUCGGAUUGUUUGGGAAUGCAGUCCAAAAUGGGUGGUAAAUUUCAUCUAAAGCUAAAUAUUGGCGAGAGACCGAUAGCGAACAAGUACCGUGAGGGAAAGAUGAAAAGAACUUUGAAAAGAGAGUUAAACAGUACGUGAAAUUGUCAAAAGGGAAGCGUUUGACACCAGUGUUGUUUUUCCGAAAAUCAAUUACGAAUGGCUUGAUUCUGUGUUGUAUUGACCUUAUCAGCUUUCUUCACUUUUUUCGAGUCCUUCUUAAUGCACUUUUCGGUUAACAAGUCAACAUCAAUUUCUUUUGUUGUAAAAGAGUAUUCGGAAGGUGGCUUUCUUUUCGGAGAAAGUGUUUAUAGCCCUAUACUUCUACAAUCGGAGAGAUUGAGGUCUGCAGCGUAGAUCCUUCGGGGUUAGAUACACUUGUGCUAAGUUGUAGCUUUUCAUAGACAACUUGUUGACUAUGUUUAGUCAUGCGGCUUACUCGCUUGUGCUAUUUUACCUACGCUUAGGAUGUUGAAGAUGUAGCACAUCAU